UUGUGUCCUUUUUCCAAUCGCCUUGUCAAUGCCCCCUUCCCUAGACAGGAAUCCCAGCUGCUUGGCUUCCCUACCCUCUAAUUCCAAGCUACUGGCCCUGUUAUCCCAGCGUCGGAGCAGCCAGGUAACAAUGUGCUCGCCUGGACCAUGGUGAGAUCUUUU